GAUGAACGCUAGCGGCAGGCCUAACACAUGCAAGUCGAGGGGUAGAAGGAGCUUGCUCCUUUGAGACCGGCGCACGGGUGCGUAACGCGUAUGCAAUCUACCUUUUACAGAGGGAUAGCCCAGAGAAAUUUGGAUUAAUACCUCAUAGUAUAUAUCAUUCGCAUGUUUGGUAUAUUAAAGUUCCAACGGUAAAAGAUGAGCAUGCGUCCCAUUAGUUAGUUGGUAAGGUAACGGCUUACCAAGACGAUGAUGGGUAGGGGUCCUGAGAGGGAGAUCCCCCACACUGGUACUGAGACACGGCCCAGACUCCUACGGGAGGCAGCAGUGGGGAAUUUUGGACAAUGGGCGCAAGCCUGAUCCAGCCAUGCCGCGUGUGUGAAGAAGGCCUUCGGGUUGUAAAGCACUUUCGGCCGGAACGAAAUCGCGCGGGUUAACAGUCCGCGUGGAUGACGGUACCGGAAGAAGAAGCACCGGCUAACUACGUGCCAGCAGCCGCCGUAA
rnacentral:rRNA from 1 species